GUGGCGAAAUGGCAGACGCGGAGCACUCAAAAUGCUUUGCCGAAAGGCGUGUGGGUUCGACUCCCACCUUCGGCACCA
rnacentral:tRNA from 1 species